GCCUGGAGACUGCCGGCGAAGGAGACGAGGAAGCGGCGGCGAGGAACGGUCCCGCAGAGCGAGUAAACUCUGGACCGCGCACCGGCCGAACCCGCCCCUUUUCCACCAGAAGGGGCGUGGUCUCGGGGUUCCAGCAGCCUUGAAUUCUUCAGGAAACUCUGUUCCAAUUAAAUAGGCCAGGCAUCUGUCAAUGACUACUCAUGGAGCCCAAAGAAAUGAAAAUGUAAGGACUGCAGCAAAUGGGGGCCCCUGAGGAAGAGUGCUUUUCUUCAGCAGGCUCCCAGCUAGCAAGCACACAUCUUCCUGAGGAGUAUCUCCACCCUCCCUCUCUUAUUCUGCUCUUCCCUACAUAUUUGACGGAGAAGAAGUGGAUAUUGACUGAGGUGGCAGGUCUGUAUUCCCAUUUGGAGAAGAAGAGAGGGACAUCUCCAGGAAAAGGAGGAUUCAAAUUCAUUUGCAAGAAAGGAGUAAAAAAAAAAAAAAAAGAAAGCACAGGAAGAGUAGACAGCCUUGCCUGCUAAACCACCAGAUGAGAUCUUCCUCAGUAAUUACCUGUCGGCAACAUCUACUAUGAUCCUAGCAUUUGAAAGGACAUAUUGAGGUUGAAGGCUAUCAGCUUUAGUCGACACAUGCAAACAGGUGGGAGGAGAUUGCAGUGCAAGUGCUCAGCACAAGUGAGGACACCUAGGCCGGGCCAGACGUCGAGGCCAGAGUGUACUCUGUCUGAGGAAUCCCUACCUGGACGUGCCUAUAGGGCAAAAGUAGUGCCGAAGAGCUCUUCUUACUGAUCCACAGGCAUGCAGAUUAUACAUGGAAACCUCCUGAUGAAUGAGAAAAGCAGCCAGGACCCAGACUGUCCUACUCUAUAGAUACAGAGAUGAUUCUUCAAAGGAUGUACAGCCAAUUAGAGGAGACAGAAUGGCCUGCUCCUUCAAUCCUGGAUACCGGAAUAAAGAAGACAUCUGGAGCAGAUGCUGAGACAAUUCCUGGCUGACUUGUAACAUAAGCAAGAAAUAAAUCUUUGCUGUAAGCAAAAUUUGGGAGUUGUUUUUUACUGCAUUAUAACCUAAUGAAAGCUGACUGAUACAGAGUGGUAACUUGAAUAGCCACAUUUGUAGCGGGAAAAUUUUAAGUAAGAAAAAAAGUGGUGAAACACAAAUUCC